rnacentral:rRNA from 1 species
GAUGAACGCUAGCGACAGGCCUAACACAUGCAAGUCGAGGGGCAGCACAAGGAGCAAUCUGAGGUGGCGACCGGCGCACGGGUGAGUAACACGUAUGCAACCUGCCUGUAAGCGGGGGAUAACCCGUUGAAAGACGGACUAAUACCGCAUAAUACUGGAGAUCUGCAUGGGAUAUUCAGUUAAACAUUUAUGGCUUACAGAUGGGCAUGCGCAUGAUUAGAUAGUUGGAGAGGUAACGGCUCCCCAAGUCAACGAUCAUUAGGGGUUCUGAGAGGAAGGUCCCCCACACUGGUACUGAGACACGGACCAGACUCCUACGGGAGGCAGCAGUGAGGAAUAUUGGUCAAUGGGCGAGAGCCUGAACCAGCCAAGUCGCGUGCAGGAGAAUGUCCUAUGGAUU